rnacentral:rRNA from 1 species
UACAGAGACUGCAAGCGUUAUUCGGAUUCACUGGGCGUGAAGGGUGCGCAGGCGGCCGUGUGUGUGAGGCGUGAAAGCCCGGGGCUUAACCCCGGAAUUGCACCUCAAACUACAUGGCUAGAGCAUUGGAGAGGGUAGCGGAAUUCACGGUGUAGCAGUGAAAUGCGUAGAUAUCGUGAGGAACACCAGAGGCGAAGGCGGCUACCUGGACAAUUGCUGACGCUCAGGCACGAAAGCGUGGGGGAGCAAAAAGGG